AGUGAACGCUGGCGGUAGGCCUAACACAUGCAAGUCGAACGGCAGCACAGUAAGAGCUUGCUCUUACGGGUGGCGAGUGGCGGACGGGUGAGGAAUACAUCGGAAUCUACUUUUUCGUGGGGGAUAACGUAGGGAAACUUACGCUAAUACCGCAUACGACCUACGGGUGAAAGCAGGGGAUCUUCGGACCUUGCGCGAUUGAAUGAGCCGAUGUCGGAUUAGCUAGUUGGCGGGGUAAAGGCCCACCAAGGCGACGAUCCGUAGCUGGUCUGAGAGGAUGAUCAGCCACACUGGAACUGAGACACGGUCCAGACUCCUACGGGAGGCAGCAGGGGGGAAUAUUGGACAAUGGGCGCAAGCCUGAUCCAGCCAUACCGCGUGGGUGAAGAAGGCCUUCGGGUUGUAAAGCCCUUUUGUUGGGAAAGAAAAGCAGCAGGUUAAUACCCCGCUGUUCGGACGGUACCCAAAGAAUAAGCACCGGCUAACUUCGU
rnacentral:rRNA from 1 species